rnacentral:rRNA from 1 species
CCAGACUCCUACGGGAGGCAGCAGUGGGGAAUAUUGCGCAAUGGGCGAAAGCCUGACGCAGCGACGCCGCGUGAGGGAUGAAGGUCUUCGGAUCGUAAACCUCUGUCAGCAGGGAAGAACGGUCACUGUGCUAAUCAGCAGUGAAUUGACGGUACCUGCAAAGGAAGCACCGGCUAACUCCGUGCCAGCAGCCGCGGUAAUACGGAGGAUGCGAGCGUUAUCCGGAUUUAUUGGGUUUAAAGGGUGCGCAGGCGGUCUGUUAAGUCAGCGGUCAAAGCCCGGGGCUCAACCCCGGUCCGCCGUUGAAACUGGCAGUCUCGAGUUGGAGAGAAGUAUGCGGAAUGCGCGGUGUAGCGGUGAAAUGCUUAGAUAUCGCGCAGAACCCCGAUUGCGAAGGCAGCGUACCGGCUCCACACUGACGCUGAGGCACGAAAGCGUGGGUAUCGAACAGGAUUAGAUACCUCAGUA